rnacentral:rRNA from 1 species
AUUGAACGCUGGCGGCAGGCCUAACACAUGCAAGUCGAGCGGAUGAAGGGAGCUUGCUCCUGGAUUCAGCGGCGGACUGGUGAGUAAUGCCUAGGAAUCUGCCUGGUAGUGGGGGAUAACGUCCGGAAACGGGCGCUAAUACCGCAUACGUCCUGAGGGAGAAAGUGGGGGAUCUUCGGACCUCACGCUAUCAGAUGAGCCUAGGUCGGAUUAGCUAGUUGGUGGGGUAAAGGCCUACCAAGGCGACGAUCCGUAACUGGUCUGAGAGGAUGAUCAGUCACACUGGAACUGAGACACGGUCCAGACUCCUACGGGAGGCAGCAGUGGGGAAUAUUGGACAAAGGGCGAAAGCCUGAUCCAGCCAUGCCGCGUGUGUGAAGAAGGUCUUCGGAUUGUAAAGCACUUUAAGUUGGGAGGAAGGGCAGUAAGUUAAUACCUUGCUGUUUUGACGUUACCAACAGAAUAAGCACCGGCUAACUUCGUG